rnacentral:misc_RNA from 1 species
AGCUACAUCACCCGCCAUGCUUAAAAUUCCAUCAGCGAUGAGACAUGUGGUCACGGGAGAAUAUGCUAUGAAUUCUCUAAGAAAUGGUUUUGCAAUUUUGUUUAGAGAAUCAUAGAGUAUUGAUAGUCCAUCACGAGUAUUCAUCACAUCCAUAGAAAUCCCAUGGGGAAGUGGUUGCAAAUGGAAUUCACUACCAAAUCUG